rnacentral:rRNA from 1 species
GACGAACGCUGGCGGCGUGCCUAAUACAUGCAAGUAGAACGCUGAAGGAGGAGCUUGCUUCUCUGGAUGAGUUGCGAACGGGUGAGUAACGCGUAGGUAACCUGCCUGGUAGCGGGGGAUAACUAUUGGAAACGAUAGCUAAUACCGCAUAAUAGUAGAUGUUGCAUGACAUUUGCUUAAAAGGUGCAAUUGCAUCACUACCAGAUGGACCUGCGUUGUAUUAGCUAGUUGGUGAGGUAACGGCCCACCAAGGCGACGAUACAUAGCCGACCUGAGAGGGUGAUCGGCCACACUGGGACUGAGACACGGCCCAGACUCCUACGGGAGGCAGCAGUAGGGAAUCUUCGGCAAUGGACGGAAGUCUGACCGAGCAACGCCGCGUGAGUGAAGAAGGUUUUCGGAUCGUAAAGCUCUGUUGUAAGAGAAGAACGAGUGUGAGAGUGGAAAGUUCACACUGUGACGGUAUCUUACCAGAAAGGGACGGCUAACUACGUG